rnacentral:rRNA from 1 species
UGAAUUGCAGAUUUUCAGUGAAUCAUCGAAUCUUUGAACGCACCUUGCGCCCCUUGGUAUUCCGAGGGNCAUGCCUGUUUGAGUGUCAUU